GGCAGAUUUUCUCAGUUUCAGGAUGGUAUUCAUGCAUUGUAUAUUUUUGUCAAACCAUCUCUGUCAUUGGAAUUUCUGAAGGUUGUUGCAUCAGGUUGUCAGACUCUUGGUAAAAUAUAGUUUGAAGACAAGUGGUACGGCAUCUAAUUUGCUGAUUAACAAACGAGGAAGAAAACUCCAAAUAAACACAACCUUCAAAUCUCAUGGUGCUACUCAAAAGAAUAGGAAAAUCCUGAGGGUUUCCUUGGAAGGCAAGAGAAAAAGCAUGUGAAGGGAACAGUCAAGCAGCACAUUAAUCAAAAUUCAUAUAAGCAAGAAGAAAAGGAAACUUCUUUCUGCGAGAGAUGAGCAGCGAGAUGGAAUGAAGAAUGCUACAGUAGAAAUGUAAAGUGUCUUUUAAAGAGAAGGAAGAAAACAGAAGUGUAGCAGUACUAAAAGGUUUCAUAUUUUCUGCAGCAGGAAGUAGAACAGCGAGGACAAAGAAGGAAGACAUAUUUAAGACCCUUUCAUACGAAUAAUUACCAUUUCUUUGUUUUCAGUAACUAUUUGUUUUUAUUUAGAGGUACUAAAAACGGAAUGAAAAAGGAUAAGAGGUAAGGAGCCAAAAAUAUCUCUUCUAUCAAACAGUCUACUUGUUCUUGUAUUCCAUGUAAUUCUGCUCUCUCAAAUAAGGCAAACUAAGAUAAAAGUACUGAGAAAAUAAUAGAGAAAUUACUGCUCAAAGUUCUAAUAUUUUUUACUGCUUCACGAACUUAAUAUUUUUUACU